rnacentral:rRNA from 1 species
UUUGGUGAUUAUAGCAACGGGGCGCACCUGAAUCCAUUCCGAACUCAGCAGUUAAGCCCGUUAACG